UGCUCUUAUCUUUUUGUAGCUGAACAAACAUCUCACACAGAAUGAGAAGGAUCUCAACACAUACAAUGAGAUGCUCAAGUCUUUUGAUCCGAGGAUACAAGAGAUAGAGCGUCGUAUGUCGGAGCGGGGUGAAAAGUUGAAGAUUCUCAAGGAGAGAAUGGACAGGGUUGAAGACGAGGUGUUCAUGACGUUCUGUAUCCAGAUUGGUGUCGAGAACAUCAGGCAAUAUGAAGAACGAGAGCUUAGAGUACAACAGGACAGAGCAAAGAAGAGGCUUGAAUUCGAGAAUCAGAAAUUCAG